GGCGCUUUGGCGGAGUGGUUAACGCGAUGCCCUGCUAUAUUUUCGCGAUAUAACUUGGAAGGCAUUUCCUUCGGGAGCGCAGGUUCGAAUCCUGCAGGCGUCG